rnacentral:lncRNA from 1 species
CCCUCACAUUCCAAAGUAGCACCUUCAUUGCAUAUCAGAACAGAAAGCUGUAGGGCCCCGGAUCAAGAUUGCCGAAGCCCCACCAUCAUCCACAGAUCCUACCGCAUCAUUCUUCGAGGUAGAUAGGUCGUGGCCUCCUUCCAAGGCCUACUUCAGGCAGCCCACUUUGUCCUCAUGACGUACCACAGAAGCUUCAACCAAGCACUCCAUCUCCAAAUUG